CCCUUAGAUGUCCUGGGCCGCACGCGCGCUACACUGAACGGAUCAGCGCGUUUUCCCUUCCCGAGAGGGACGGGUAACCUGCUGAACCCCGUUCGUGGUAGGGAUCGGGGCUUGCAAUUAUUCCCCGUGAACCAGGAAUGCCCAGUAAGUGCAAGUCAUAAGCUUGCGUUGAUUACGUCCCUGCCCUUUGUACACACCGCCCGUCGCUACUACCGAUUGAACGUUUUAGUGAGGUACUCGGACUGAGCCUCAGAAGAUUCACGUCUUUUGUGCUGCUCGGGAAGAUUCCCAAACUUGUGCGUUUAGAGGAAGUAAAAGUCGUAACA
rnacentral:rRNA from 1 species